rnacentral:rRNA from 1 species
GCGAGUGAAGCGGGAAAAGCUCAAAUUUAAAAUCUGGCGGUCUUUUUUGGCUGUCCGAGUUGUAAUUUAGAGAAGCAUUACCCGCGCUGGACCGUAUACAAGUCCUCUGGAAUGGGGUGUCAUAGAGGGUGAGAAUCCCGUCUUUGAUAUGGACUACCAGUGCUUUGUGGUGUGCUCUCGAAGAGUCGAGUUGUUUGGGAAUGCAGCUCAAAAUGGGUGGUAAAUUCCAUCUAAAGCUAAAUACAGGCGAGAGACCGAUAGCGAACAAGUACCGUGAGGGAAAGAUGAAAAGAACUUUGGAAAGAGAGUUAAACAGUACGUGAAAUUGCUGAAAGGGAAACGCUUGAAGUCAGUCGCGUUGGCUGAGAAUCAGCCUUGCUCUUUUGCUUGGUGUACUUCUCAGUCGAYGGGUCAGCAUCAGUUUUGACUGCUGGAUAAAGGUCAGGGGAAUGUGGCAUCUUUGGAUGUGUUAUAGCCCUUGUUCGUAUACAGCAGUUGGGACUGAGGAACUCAGCACGCCGCAAGGCCGGGUUUUCAACCACGUACGUGCUUAGGAUGCUGGCAUAAUGGCUUUAAUCGACCC